GGUGCGUCGCAGCCCCGGACCAAGGCGCCCGCCGGAGGACCAACCAAAACUCUUAUUGUAUACCCCCUCGCGGGUUUUUUUAUAAUCUGAGCCUUCUCGGCGCCUCUCGUAGGCGUUUCGAAAAUGAAUCAAAACUUUCAACAACGGAUCUCUUGGUUCUGGCAUCGAUGAAGAACGCAGCGAAAUGCGAUAAGUAAUGUGAAUUGCAGAAUUCAGUGAAUCAUCGAAUCUUUGAACGCACAUUGCGCCCGCCAGUAUUCUGGCGGGCAUGCCUGUCCGAGCGUCAUUUCAACCCUCGAACCCCUCCGGGGGGUCGGCGUUGGGGAUCGGCCCUGCCUUGGCGGUGGCCGUCUCCGAAAUACAGUGGCGGUCUCGCCGCAGCCUCUCCUGCGCAGUAGUUUGCACACUCGCAUCGGGAGCGCGGCGCGUCCACAGCCGUUAAACACCCAACUUCUGAAAUGUUGACCUCGGAUCAGGUAGGAAUACCCGCUGAACUUAAGCAUAUCAAUAAG
rnacentral:rRNA from 1 species